rnacentral:tRNA from 1 species
GUGUGUGUAGCCGAGUGGUAGCAGUGGCCUUUGGGGCGCAAUUGGUCGGGGUUCGAGUCCCAGCGCGCCCC